rnacentral:rRNA from 1 species
GACGAACGCUGGCGGCGUGCUUAACACAUGCAAGUCGAACGGAAAGGCCCUGCUUGCAGGGUACUCGAGUGGCGAACGGGUGAGUAACACGUGGGUGAUCUGCCCUGCACUUCGGGAUAAGCCUGGGAAACUGGGUCUAAUACCGGAUAGGAGCCAUUUUUAGUGUGAUGGUUGGAAAGUUUUUUCGGUGUAGGAUGAGCUCGCGGCCUAUCAGCUUGUUGGUGGGGUAAUGGCCUACCAAGGCGGCGACGGGUAGCCGGCCUGAGAGGGUGGACGGCCACAUUGGGACUGAGAGACGUCCCAGACUCCUACGGGAGGCAGCAGUGGGGAAUAUUGCACAAUGGGCGCAAGCCUGAUGCAGCGACGCCGCGUGGGGGAUGACGGCCUUCGGGUUGUAAACUCCUUUCGCUAGGGACGAAGCUUUUUGUGACGGUACCUAGAUAAGAAGCACCGGCUAACUACGUG